UUUUGAAAGAACUCAUCACAUACAAUGCAGCGAUCCUAAAAUAUAUGACUUUUUCCCAUUAUAUAUCUAUUUUUACAACAUUCAAACGCAAUUAAACGUGUACAAAUGUCGCGUGCGUAACCAUGGAAACACCCAUAUAUAUAUACUUUUUUUUUGUUUGUUUGCGGACUUAUUCGUAUGCGCUCGUAUGCACUUUCGUAGUUACAGGCGUCAAUACCCUUUGUAUAUGUGCCUGGUCUGUAUGUAAUUCGCUAUGGUACAUAUAUUCAAGUAUUUUUAUUGCUUGUAUUGUUUUUACUUUCUUCCGUUUUUGUAGGCGCGAUACGAAUCCAAAAGAGAGUUCACCAUGCGCAAGUGUUCACCUCUUUAUGCUUUGUGUUUUUAGUUUUAACUUCGUAUAAUAUAAAUCGAGUUGUUACUAGUUAAUAUGUAUGUAUGUAUGUUCAAAUUUAUUAUUUCUUUUAUUUCACUUCUUGCAUUUUAUUGAGCCUUUUGCUUAUUUAUUUUAGAUAUACUGCUUACUGUUUUGGGAAACAGAAGGAGUAUUGCGGAAAAUCUUGCAAGUGGAUACUUGAAAUUUAAUUGUUGUUAAAUAAGCUUGUUACGUGGGUUCGUAACACUGGGAUAUCGCUUCCUCUACAUUAAUGUUGGCUGCCCAGGUCGAUGCAAUGACUCAAAAAUUUUUCAAUGUAGCAAACUAAAUACUGCAUUGAAGGGCCUAAUCUUCACUGCAAAAAGCAAAACUAUUAAUGGCGUGAAUGUUCCUGUGGGCGUUAUGGGUGAUUCGGCUUUCCGAUUUGCCAACAAUCUAAUGAAGCCCUAUCCAUUCCAAGUACAUCUUCCAGAGCAUGAAAAAAUUUUUAAUUACCAAUUGUCCAAAUGCCGAAGAGUGGUGGAAAAUGCGUUUGGACACCUAAAAGCUCGUUUUAGGAGAAUAGGGAAAGGAGUCGACAACCACAUCAAAAAUGUUCCUCUUAUAAUUAAAGCAGCCUGUACAUUGCAUAACUUUUUAAAUUGUCAUAAUGAUGUCAUCAACCACAAAUGGAUAGAAGAACAAACCAGUUACGAAAGUAGUGUACGCCUGGAAUAGCCCGAGCACAAUUAGAAGAGCGAUUGCGAAUUCAUUUUACUCCGGAGUCGUCGAAAGUCCUGCAAGCUCAUCGCUUGAAAUGAAUUGGGAUUGGGUGCUCGUCGAAGGGUAGAUAGCAGCGCAACCAAUGUUGUUUCUGCUUCCACAUCUUGAAUUAAAAUAAAAUAAUAAAUAAAAGAGCAAACAAAAAUUUCAUUUUUAUAUCUUUAUAUAUAUAAAUCUUCUGACCGUGUGUUUGCCUUGGAACUGCUCCUAAACGGAUGGACCGAUUUUGAUGAAAUUUUGUGUGUACGUUCAAGGAGAUUCGGGAAUGGUUUAGAUUUACAAUUUGGUCCACUGAAAAAUGUUUUUUUAAUUAUUUUUUCAUGUUUAAUCAAUUUUUAAUUUUGGAAUGUUUGACUGAUAGAUGGCGCUAUCAUCGCAGUAUCCAAUAUUCAAACCUUAAAUUGGCGUAAACGUAUAUUAAACAAAACGAUGCCAAAGUAAAAGGCGACAUCUGUGGAUCAAGUUUUUAUCACAUCGCUUAAUAUUUAUCAAAAGAAAAGAUUGUCAUAUAGUAUUUUGAAAUAAAAGUCGUAUUUUUUUGAAAUAUUUUCCAUAUAAUAGAAAUAGUGGAUGCAGUUUUUCAUUUGUUAAGUCGAUUUGGGGUGAAAUUAGGUUCAUUGCUUUAAAAAAAAUUUUGGAAUUUGUUACAUAUUUUACAUAACUCUUUAUAGAUUCAUUGUAUAUAUUAUUACUACAAAAAAAUGCCACGUCUUCGUGGAAGAGCAAAAACACAUUGGUCGACGUUCUCAUAAUGCGCAAUUCCAGUCCCAGGAUUUCACAAUAUAUUUAUGGCAAAUACUUUAGGCCGACUCUACACAGUUCAUCCUAAGCAACGUGAAUGCUAUUUCCUACGUUUGUUAUUGAUCAACAUUCCUGGACCGACAUCCUUCCAAUCUUUGCGUACAGUUAAUAGUAGUGUAUGCAAUACUUUCUUCGAUGCCUGUCGUGAGUUACGUUUAUUGGAAGAUGAUAAUCAUUGGGAUCUCACGCUUGCAGAUGCAGCACUGAGCUCAUCGCCGCAUCAAAUUCGUCAAUUAUUUUCAGUAAUAUUAAC